CAGGGGCUGGUAUGGAAGUGAGGUCUCUAUUGAGGGGAGGUUGGUAGUCUUGGAUGCCCCCUGCGACAUCCCCAUUACUCAUGCUCAGGUGCUAUUUGCUAGCUGCUGGGAGUUAUUCCAAGAAAGAAGAGUCAGAGUGUGAGAUUCCAGAGAAGGCACAGGAAUCUGCCUGCAGUCAUGGUCACUCUCUGUUAACUCAGUCCCUGCCAGCCUUGUGGAGGAAAGGCCGGUGCAGCUGGGUGAAGCUCAGUGGCAGGGCCUUCCUCUGGGCUGCCCUUGGAGAGAUUUCUUGCCUCUCACUCAAGUUAAUGAGUUUUACUGGGCCAGUGAAGUGCCCAGGAUGGGAACCAGACAACCUGCCACCUCAUGACCUGGAAAGCCCAGGGAUUCUGAGGGCCUCUGCACAUAUCAUCAUCUGCCUCUGCCACCACCCACCUCCCUGUGUGGACUUCUAUUGACUGUGUCUGGAUCCAGCUUUAUAAGAAAAUUUCUUUACUCCUGCCCCUGCUUCCCCUAAGCCAGGUCAGGAUGUUCUAUCUAUGUUCUAUUUUUGGCAUGACUUCUGGCACUGCACUUGUCACAGAGUUUAUGUGUUAGCAUCCUGGUUAGUGUCUACUUCCCUUAUUAGAUUGCAAAUUUCAUGAAGGCUAGGUCUUACUUGUCCUCAUCUUUCAUCCCAGUAACUAACAGAGAUGUGGCUCAUAAAGGAGGUUUAAUAAACAUGUAUUAAAUGAAAAAAAAAAAAAAGACAUGUACCAUUCUGAUUCUAA